UGAUGAUCUGGGCGAGGUCGGUCACGAGGUCCACCCUAGUGGGCGACCACCGGGAGCACGACGGGCGCUCGAUCCGCUCGGUCGACGACC
rnacentral:tRNA from 1 species